UACAGAGGUCUCAAGCGUUGUUCGGAUUCAUUGGGCGUAAAGCGCGCGUAGGUGGCUUCGUAAGUCCGUUGUGAAAGUCAAAGGCUCAACCUUUGAAAGCCGAUGGAUACUGCGGAGCUAGAGUACGGAAGAGGCGAGUGGAAUUCCUGGUGUAGCGGUGAAAUGCGCAGAUAUCAGGAAGAACACCCGUGGCGAAGGCGGCUCUCUGGAACGCAACUGACGCUGAGACGCGAAAGCGUGGGGAGCAAACAGG
rnacentral:rRNA from 1 species